rnacentral:rRNA from 1 species
UAACGCGUGGGAAUCUGCCUUGGUGUGGGGGAUAACCCGGCGAAAGCCGGGCUAAUACCGCAUACGUCCUUCGGGAGAAAGAUUUAUCGCUCUAGGAGGGGCCCGCGUCGGAUUAGCUAGUUGGGGAGGUAACGGCUCACCAAGGGGACGAUCCGUAGCUGGUCUGAGAGGAUGAUCAGCCACACUGGGACUGGGACACGGCCCAGACUCCUACGGGAGGGAGCAGUGGGGAAUAUUGGACAAUGGGGGCAACCCUGAUCCAGCAAUGCCGCGUGAGUGGUGAAGGCCUUAGGGUUGU